GAUGAACGCUGGCGGCGUGCCUAAUACAUGCAAGUCGAGCGAACAGAUGAGGAGCUUGCUCCUCUGACGUUAGCGGCGGACGGGUGAGUAACACGUGGAUAACCUACCUAUAAGACUGGGAUAACUUCGGGAAACCGGAGAUAAUACCGGAUAAUAUAUUGAACCGCAUGGUUCAAUAGAGAAAGACGGUUUUGCUGUCACUUAUAGAUGGAUCCGCGCCGCAUUAGCUAGUUGGUAAGGUAACGGCUUACCAAGGCAACGAUGCGUAGCCGACCUGAGAGGGGGAUCGCCCACACUGGAGCUGAGACGGGCUCAAGACUCCUACGGGAGGCAGCAGUAGGGAAUCUUCCGCAAUGGUCGAAAGCCUGGCGGAGCAACGCCGCGCGAGUGAUGACAGUCUUCGGAGCGUAAAACUCUGUUAUUAGGGAAGAACAAAUGUGUAAGUAACUAUGCACGUCUUGACGGUACCUAAUCAGAAAGCCACGGCUAACUACGUG
rnacentral:rRNA from 1 species